rnacentral:rRNA from 1 species
UACAGAGGGGGCGAGCGUUGUUCGGAAUUACUGGGCGUAAAGGGCGCGUAGGCGGCCUUCUAAGUCGAACGUGAAAUCCCCGGGCUCAACCCGGGAACUGCGUCCGAUACUGGGAGGCUUGAAUCCGGGAGAGGGAUGUGGAAUUCCAGGUGUAGCGGUGAAAUGCGUAGAUAUCUGGAGGAACACCGGUGGCGAAGGCGGCAUCCUGGACCGGUAUUGGACGCUGAGGCGCGAAAGCCAGGGGGAGCAA